GUUACUCCCCUAGACACCCAGGAACAUUUGGCGUUGCUUGACAACAGUUUGAGGCAGGAUAAAGAGCUCCAGCAACGAUUUCUUCGGUUUUUGGCAAUCAAAUGUGGGAGGGACCUAAAGACAACCGUGUGGCGAAUGCUUCAGAGUAUCUUCUCUAAUCACCUUUCCAUCAAUACAACCUGGACUGGUGUAGGGGAUAAAGCAUGUUUUAGAGACAUGUUCCUGAAGACCAUUGUUCAAAGAGCCAUCCGGAAGAACCCGGCAACACAGGAUGCCACUGAUGAGGCGAUCCAGGUUAACGUUACGCGUUACCUGAAAGGAGCAUCUGAACAUGAAGGUGGAAAAGGCGCCGCACAGCUGAGAGGGACCCACAGCCGACCCCUUAAACCUAGGCUGACUACUGACACCCCAGCAUCACUGACAACUGGAACCCUUUCUUUAUCCUGCAGUCAGUAACAUCAAGACCCCUAAAGAAGCCUGCUAAAAGUGUCAGACUACACUCACCCAAUCCACACUGUUCACUGUGGAAAUUGCUCUUUUUUUUUUUUUUUUUUUUCUCGUGACCCUGCUUUGAGGGCAGCUCCUUGGAUGAAUAUGGGAUGGUUUGUCCUUUUAUACAGGCGCACGAGGAAUCACUGAAGAUAUGCCAAUUUGCACUGCCUCAUUCUGGGGGUCGGGGAAAACCGGUGAUUCUUAGCCCAGAAGUCCCCAAACUCUCCAGACAUUCUGAUUGGCUGUGUUCUCUACAGCCAGAUUUUCUGCUGUUAAUUAUAUUUAUUCCCACUUGUUGUCAUGUGUAAGUUGAAUGUCAAAAUGUAUAUUAUACCUGCACAUUCCUUGAUACCAAAGAUCUCAAUUAUUUCAUAUACAAUUUGCUGCUUAUUUCAUUGUUACAGUGCUUAACUAUUCUAUUUUUAAAUAUAGCUUGUAAAUCCUAGAUUAUACAUCUAAUACUUGAUAUUUGCACAUUAUCUGGUAUCAAAUAUUCUACUUACCGUGACUUUAGUAUUGGCUUAUUUAAUUCCGUCAGUGCUUAACAAUUCUAUUAUAGUUUGUAAAUCCUAUUUCAUACCUCUGAUACUUGAUAUUGCACAUUAACUAGUACCAAAAAUUCUACUUUCAUUCCAUCACAGUGUUUAACUGUUAUUCUAUUGUUACAUAUAGCUUGUAAAUCCUUGUGCCACAAGUCAGCAUUGCAGUUAUAAUGGUAUAUUCUACUCCAGAGCUUUACUCUAAAUUAUUACCACUUAACCUAUUGUUAGAAAUGACUUGUAAAUAUGAUGUUAUACCUCAAUUUAUUUGGUAUCCUGCACUUUCUUUGGUACCAAAUAUCCUCAUUGCUUGUGUUUACUGGUAAUUCUUUUCAUCCCAGAGCUGACCUCUUUAUAUUAUUAACAAUUAUUGUAAGUGUUACAAUAGUGUUUUUUUAAAAAAAAAAAAGAAAUUGGAAACCUGCAUGUUCUUUUGUGUGUGUAAAUAUAAUGUUUGUAUUUUUCUGUUAUUUAUAUUUCAGUGAUAUGACAUCUUGUUUCAAUGACAGUUACUGUACUUUGAAAUGUGGAAUUAA